CAACAGGGAUUGCCCCAGUAACGGCGAGUGAAGCGGCAACAGCUCAAAUUUGAAAUCUGGCUCUCGGGCCCGAGUUGUAAUUUGUAGAGGAUGCUUUUGGUGAGGUGCCUUCCGAGUUCCCUGGAACGGGACGCCAUAGAGGGUGAGAGCCCCGUCUGGUUGGACGCCGAACCUCUGUAAAGCUCCUUCGACGAGUCGAGUAGUUUGGGAAUGCUGCUCUAAAUGGGAGGUAUAUGUCUUCUAAAGCUAAAUACCGGCCAGAGACCGAUAGCGCACAAGUAGAGUGAUCGAAAGAUGAAAAGAACUUUGAAAAGAGAGUUAAACAGUACGUGAAAUUGUUGAAAGGGAAGCGCUUGUGACCAGACUUGGGCUUGGUUGAUCAUCCGGGGUUCUCCCCGGUGCACUCUUCCGGCCCAGGCCAGCAUCAGUUCGCCCUGGGGGACAAAGGCAUCGGGAACGUGGCUCUCUCCGGGGAGUGUUAU
rnacentral:rRNA from 10 species